UCCUCUCUCAAACCCCGUGUUUGGUGUUGGACCGCGUUGGACCGCCUCCAUGGCCAACUGGUCUCAAAGACAAUGACGGCGUCCCAGGGACCCUCUUCGCACUGAGUUCUCCGGAGCACGCGUCGAGUUUCAAGGACCCAGGGACCCGGUCGCCUCUAAAACUUUUUUCA
rnacentral:misc_RNA from 2 species